rnacentral:lncRNA from 1 species
AAUAAUGCAGAGUGGUACAGGCUGAAGCGGAGCGGAGAGGACACUGUUUCAAGAUUCCUGCGCCAGCUCCUUCGUUGUUAUAGAAGUUGGACUAAAUAAAAGGGUAAUCACAAGCGUACAGAUAACAGGCAGGCAGGAAUGUGAAAAUCAGAGAGAAGAGAGAUGUGCACCAGAAGCUGGAGUAAUGUGCUUUGAAGAUGGAGGAAGGGACCAUAAAUCAAGGAAUGCAGACAGCCUGUAGAAGCUGGGAAAGGCAAGGAUGUGGAUUCACUCGAGUCUCUAGAAGAAACGCAACCCCGCCAACACCUUGAUUUGAGGACGUCUGACCUUCAGAAUGAGAAAAUGAUACAUUUGUGUUGUAAGCCACCCAGUUUGUGAAAUAUGUAUCAACAAUUGAAAACUAGUACAUAGUCAAAUACUCAAUCUCUGUUUUUUUUAGCUUAUCAUUUUCAAUCUCUGUCUCCAACCCACAAACCACAUGCAUCAUAAAUAAAUUAAAAUACCAAAACUUU